GACGAACGCUGGCGGCGUGCUUAACACAUGCAAGUCGAACGGAAAGGCCCUGCUUUUGUGGGGUGCUCGAGUGGCGAAAGGGUGAGUAACACGUGAGUAACCUGCCCUUGACUUUGGGAUAACUUCAGGAAACUGGGGCUAAUAUCGGAUAGGAGCUCCUGCUGCAUGGUGGGGGUUGGAAAGUUUCGGCGGUUGGGGAUGGACUCGCGGCUUAUCAGCUUGUUGGUGGGGUAGUGGCUUACCAAGGCUUUGACGGGUAGCCGGCCUGGGAGGGUGACCGGCCACAUUGGGACUGAGAUACGGCCCAGACUCCUACGGGAGGCAGCAGUGGGGAAUAUUGCACAAUGGGCGGAAGCCUGAUGCAGCAACGCCGCGUGCGGGAUGACGGCCUUCGGGUUGUAAACCGCUUUCGCCUGUGACGAAGCGUGAGUGACGGUAAUGGGUAAAGAAGCACCGGCUAACUACGUG
rnacentral:rRNA from 1 species